UUGGGUAGGGGAGCGUUCUGUAAGUCUGUGAAGGUGUACUGUGAGGUAUGCUGGAGGUAUCAGAAGUGCGAAUGCUGACAUAAGUAACGAUAAAGCGGGUGAAAAGCCCGCUCGCCGGAAGACCAAGGGUUCCUGUCCAACGUUAAUCGGGGCAGGGUGAGUCGACCCCUAAGGCGAGGCCGAAAGGCGUAGUCGAUGGGAAACAGGUUAAUAUUCCUGUACUUGGUGUUACUGCGAAGGGGGGACGGAGAAGGCUAUGUUGGCCGGGCGACGGUUGUCCCGGUUUAAGCGUGUAGGCUGGUUUUCCAGGCAAAUCCGGAAAAUCAAGGCUGAGGCGUGAUGACGAGGCACUACGGUGCUGAAGCAACAAAUGCCCUGCUUCCAGGAAAAGCCUCUAAGCAUCAGGUAACAUCAAAUCGUACCCCAAACCGACACAGGUGGUCAGGUAGAGAAUACCAAGGCGCUUGAGAGAACUCGGGUGAAGGAACUAGGCAAAAUGGUGCCGUAACUUCGGGAGAAGG
rnacentral:rRNA from 1 species